rnacentral:rRNA from 1 species
CAGGUCUUGACAUCUCCUGACAACCCUAGAGAUAGGGCGUUCCCCUUCGGGGGACAGGAUGACAGGUGGUGCAUGGUUGUCGUCAGCUCGUGUCGUGAGAUGUUGGGUUAAGUCCCGCAACGAGCGCAACCCUUGAUCUUAGUUGCCAGCAUUCAGUUGGGCACUCUAAGGUGACUGCCGGUGACAAACCGGAGGAAGGUGGGGAUGACGUCAAAUCAUCAUGCCCCUUAUGACCUGGGCUACACACGUGCUACAAUGGAUGGUACAAAGGGCUGCGAGACCGCGAGGUUAAGCGAAUCCCAUAAAACCAUUCUCAGUUCGGAUUGCAGGCUGCAACUCGCCUGCAUGAAGCCGGAAUCGCUAGUAAUCGCGGAUCAGCAUGCCGCGGUGAAUACGUUCCC